rnacentral:rRNA from 1 species
UACGUAGGGACCGAGCGUUAUCCGGAUUCAUUGGGCGUAAAGAGCUCGUAGGCGGCUUUUUAAGUCAGGGGUGAAAUCCUAGAGCUCAACUCCAGAACUGCCUUUGAUACUGGGAAGCUUGAGUCCGGAAGAGGUGAGUGGAACUCCGAGUGUAGAGGUGAAAUUCGUAGAUAUUCGGAAGAACACCAGUGGCGAAGGCGGCUCACUGGUCCGGUACUGACGCUGAGGAGCGAAAGCGUGGGGAGCGAACAGG